AUCAUGCGCGUGGGCAUUCUUGCGCUUUGCGCACAGCUCGCAUGGAUCAUCACCGUUGCAGAUUCCAGAUACGAUCGGCAGGAUAUGAUUCAGACCGGACCAAGCUUCUCACAUGUAA